UACUCCUACGGGAGGCAGCAGUGGGGAAUAUUGGACAAUGGGCGCAAGCCUGAUCCAGCAAUGCCGCGUGAGUGAUGAAGGCCUUAGGGUCGUAAAGCUCUUUUACCCGGGAUGAUAAUGACAGUACCGGGAGAAUAAGCCCCGGCUAACUCCGUGCCAGCAGCCGCGGUAAUACGGAGGGGGCUAGCGUUGUUCGGAAUUACUGGGCGUAAAGCGCACGUAGGCGGUUACUCAAGUCAGAGGUGAAAGCCCGGGGCUCAACCCCGGAACUGCCUUUGAAACUAGGUGACUAGAAUCUUGGAGAGGCGAGUGGAAUUCCGAGUGUAGAGGUGAAAUUCGUAGAUAUUCGGAAGAACACCAGUGGCGAAGGCGACUCGCUGGACAAGUAUUGA
rnacentral:rRNA from 1 species